UCUCGGAGCAGUUCACAGC
rnacentral:misc_RNA from 1 species